GAUGAAGAACGCAGCGAAAUGCGAUACUUGGUGUGAAUUGCAGAAUCCCGUGAACCAUCAAGUCUUUGAACGCAAGUUGCGCCCGAAGCCAUUAGGCCGAGGGCACGCCUGCCUGGGCGUCACACGUCGUUGCCCCCCCAUCUACUCCUUCGGGAUUGCGGGGGGCGGAUGAUGGCCUCCCGUGCGCCUCGUCGCGCGGUUGGCAUAAAUGCCAAGUCCUCGGCGACACACGCCACGACAAUCGGUGGUUGCGAAACCUCGGUUGCCCGUCGUGUGCGGUCGUCGCGCAUCGAGGGCUCGAAAAAAUUGCCGGGCUCCGGCUCGGCUUUCAACGCGACCCCAGGUCAGGCGGGGUUACCCGCUGAAUUUAAGCAUAUCAAUAAGCGGAGGA
rnacentral:misc_RNA from 1 species